rnacentral:rRNA from 1 species
CAUGUAGGCGGAGAGGCAAGUGUCGGGUGAAAUCCCCCGGCUCAACCGAGGAACUGCCCGGCAAACUGUCUUUCUUGAGGCAGGUAGAGGUGAGUGGAACGACUGGUGGAGCGGUGAAAUGCGUAGAUAUCAGUUGGAACGCCGGUGGCGAAAGCGACUCACUGGACCUGUCCUGACGCUGAGAUGCGAAAGCGUGGGUAGCGAACA